rnacentral:rRNA from 1 species
CAUCCAGAGAACUUGGCAGAGAUGCCUUGGGUGCCUUCGGGACCUCUGAGACAGGUGCUGCAUGGCUGUCGUCAGCUCGUGUUGUGAAAUGUUGGGUUAAGUCCCGNAACGAGCGCAACCCCUAUCCUUUGUUGCCAGCGAUUCGGUCGGGAACUCAAAGGAGACUGCCGGUGAUAAACCGGAGGAAGGUGGGGAUGACGUCAAGUCAUCAUGGCCCUUACGAGUAGGGCUACACACGUGCUACAAUGGCGCAUACAAAGAGAAGCGACCUCGCGAGAGCAAGCGGACCUCAUAAAGUGCGUCGUAGUCCGGAUCGGAGUCUGCAACUCGACUCCGUGAAGUCGGAAUCGCUAGUAAUCGUAGAUCAGAAUGCUACGGUGAAUACGUUCCCGGGCCUUGUACACACCGCCCGUCACACCAUGGGAGUGGGUUGCAAAAGAAGUAGAUAGCUUAACCUUCGGGAGGGCGUUUACCACUUUGUGAUUCAUGACUGGGGUGAAGUCGUAACAAGGUAGGCGUAGCGAG